AUUGAACGCUGGCGGCAGGCCUAACACAUGCAAGUCGAGCGGAUGAAGGGAGCUUGCUCCUGGAUUCAGCGGCGGACGGGUGAGUAAUGCCUAGGAAUCUGCCUGGUAGUGGGGGAUAACGUCCGGAAACGGGCGCUAAUACCGCAUACGUCCUGAGGGAGAAAGUGGGGGAUCUUCGGACCUCACGCUAUCAGAUGAGCCUAGGUCGGAUUAGCUAGUUGGUGGGGUAAAGGCCUACCAAGGCGACGAUCCGUAACUGGUCUGAGAGGAUGACCAGUCACACUGGAACUGAGACACGGUCCAGACUCCUACGGGAGGCAGCAGUGGGGAAUAUUGGGCAAUGGGCGAAAGCCUGAUCCGGCCAUGCCGCGUGUGUGAAGAAGGUCUUCGGAUUGUAAAGCACUUUAAGUUGGGAGGAAGGGCAGUGAGUUAAUACCUUGCUGUUUUGACGUUACCAACAGAAUAAGCACCGGCUAACUUCGUG
rnacentral:rRNA from 1 species